AUCACCUGAGUUUGGAUAGCCGCUAUUUGUCGGGUGAGUGCAUCAAAUUGUGAGGGGUUCAUGUUUAAAGUAGUAAAGUGACAGGACGGCCACUAUGCAAUUGUACGCAAAUCAAUACUACUUAAAUGAAAUGCAAUAGAGAGACCAAUAUGCAUCAAGGACCAACGAUUAAAACAUCAAUUUGAAAUUCUCUCUCUCUCUCUUUUCUUCCCUUCCAAAAAUGCAAGUUAAUAGUGCUGAUGCUCGUAAAUAAUAAAGCAAGGGUCCAAUGCUUGUCAAGAUCAAAUGGUAUUGUCAAGAUUUCCAAUCAGGUAGAUAAAAGAGGUAACAAUGACACAUCAAUUCAGUGAGAUAAAUGUGGCAACAAUGGCAAGUCAAUUCAAUGAGUGAUUCCAAUCAAGUGAAGUUUGAGGCCAAAGUUGUGAUAGUAACAGCAACACAAAGAAUCUAAGUGAUGCACUUUUAAAAUAAAACAGCAGUAUAAACCAAUGAGAAUUAGGAGAUAGCAACUCCCUGUAGUCUAGUUGCCUGAAUUGCUAACGAUUGGGCCUCUGAUCUGCCUGUGUCAAAUGUCUCCAACUCCUGAAUUCACGGUCAUUGCAUAUUCUAAAUUGUUGGCUUCACUGAAAUUGGACAGAUGCUAAAAUAGAAACCUCUAUGUAACUGAAUGGGUUGCUUGGUAGUAGAGACAGUAAACUGCUUGAUCAAUGAAGUUGGUGGCUGGCUGUAAUCCUCGAAGAAAGUUGUUGAACAAUUGGGCCAGUGGUGGGUCACCCGUGAUGAUGCUGCUGUCGGCGGAAGGGCAGUUGUGGUCAAUCGGCGUAGAUACUGUGACGGUCUGGCUUCUGAGGAAUUGAUGGGUGGAUAUGCCUGGGUAAUGAAUGGGUCUCUUCAUGGUGGACUCUGUAAUAUUGCUGUGAGUUGUGAGGAGGGCGGCGAUAUGUGAAUGAAAGAUGAGUGGUGCUUCGGCGUUGUUGGAAUGUCGAUGACUGAAACUGUAGACACUGGC
rnacentral:lncRNA from 1 species